rnacentral:piRNA from 1 species
UGCAGUACAGAGCAGGGAGGACUCUGCUGGAC